rnacentral:lncRNA from 1 species
UCUAAUUCAUGACGUAACAAACUCUAAAUCUCUAAUUUAAUGACAAAAUUAAGCACAAAAUCUCUAAUUCAAAUAUUAACAUAUAUGAAAAAGAAACACAGAAGACAGAAGGGGUGGGUGACCUCACUGACUUGGAGAGAGUAAGGAAGAAGCAAAGCAAAGGCAGGACUCGCAGGAGGAAGAGCGAGCGACGGUGCCGGUGCGGCGCAGCGGCUGUCGUCUGAG